AUGAUUAAGUUUGAUAUAGGGGAUAUUUCAUCUUUAGGGGUGAUCUCGGUAGGUUUGAUGGUUGGGGCCAGUUUAGGGGAUGUUUCUUCUUUAGGGGUAACGGUUGGGGCUGGUUUAGGGGAUAUUUCAUAUUUUGGGGUGAUGGUUGAUUCUGGUUUAGGGGAGGUCUCCUCUUUAGUGGUGACGUUUGAGGCUGAUGUUGGGGAAGUUCCUUCUUUAGGGGUGACUUCUGGUUUUGGGGAAGAUCCUUCUUUAGGGGUGACUGCUGGUUCAGACUUUGAAGUUUCUUCUUUAGGGGUGAUGUUUGGGGUUGGUUUUGGGGAAGUUCCUUCUUUAGGGGUGACGGUUGGGUCUGGUUUUGGGCUUGUUUCUUCUUUAGGGGUGACGGUUGGGGCUGGUUUAGGGGAUAUUUCAUAUUUUGGAGUGAUGGUUGAUUCUGGUUUGGGGGAAGUUUCUUCUUUAGGGGUGACUGCUGGUUCUGGUUUUUGGGAAGUUUCUUCUUUAGGGGUGGUGGUUGUUUCUGAUUUAGGGAAGGUCUCUUUGGGGGUGAUAGUUGGGGCUGGUUUGGGGAAAGUUUCUUUAGGGGUGAGUACUGAUUCUGAUUUUGGGGAAGUUUCUUCUUUAAGGGUGACUGCUGGUUCUGGUUUAGGGGAUGGUUCUUCUUUAGGGGUAAUGGUUGGGUCUGAUUGUGAUGUUUCUUCUUUAGGGGUGACUGUGGGGUCUGGUUUAGGGGAUGGUUCUUCUUUAGGGGUAAUGGUUGGGUCUGAUUGUGAUGUUUCUUCUUUAGCGGUGACUGUGGGGUCUGGUUUAGGUGAUGUCUCAUCCUUGGGGGUGACCAUUGGGUCCAUUUUUGGGGAUGUUUCUUCUUUGGGGGUGACGGUUGGGGCUGGUUUAGGGGAUAUUUCAUAUUUUGGGGUGAUGGUUGAUUCUGGUUUAGGGGAGGUCUCCUCUUUAGUGGUGACGUUUGAGGCUGAUUUUGGGGAAGUUCCUUCUUUAGGGGUGACUUCUGGUUUUGGGGAAGUUCCUUCUUUAGGGGUGAGGGUUGGGUCUGGUUUUGGGCUUUUUCUUUCUUAG
rnacentral:lncRNA from 1 species